rnacentral:rRNA from 1 species
AGAGAGAGACAUGCGCGCAUAUCAAUAAGCGGAGGAAAAGAAACUAACAAGGAUUCCCCUAGUAACGGCGAGUGAAGCGGGAAGAGCUCAAAUUUGAAAUCUUCAAGGGUUUACCUUUACGAAUCGUAGUUUAAAGAAGUGUUUUCUGUUGAGGUUUCGGUAAAAGUUCUUUGGAAUAGGACAUCAUAGAGGGUGAGAAUCCCGUAUUUGACCUUUACUUUCAACUUUGUGAUACACUUUCAAAGAGUCGGAUUGUUUGGGAAUGCAGUCCAAAAUGGGUGGUAAAUUUCAUCUAAAGCUAAAUAUUGGCGAGAGACCGAUAGCGAGCAAGUACCGUGAGGGAAAGAUGAAAAGAACUUUGAAAAGAGAGUUAAACAGUACGUGAAAUUGUCAAAAGGGAAGCGUUUGACACCAGUGUUGUUUUUCUGAAAAUCAAUUAAAGAACUGUUUAUGCUAAGUUGUUUAGACUUUAUCAGCUAACUGUUUAGUUUUGAGCUUUUCUUUAAUGCACUUUUCAGUUACAAGUCAACAUCAAUUUCUUUUGCUGUAAAAAAGCUUGAGGAAGGUGGCUUGAGAUUCGUCUUAAGUGUUUAUAGCCUCUUGCCUAUGCAGUCGGAGAGAUUGAGGUCUGCAGCGUAGAUCCUUCGGGGCUAAAUGCAUUUGUGCUAAGAUAUAGCAUUUUAUAGACAACUUGUUGACUAUGAUUUGUCUUGUAGCUUACUCGCUUAUGUUAUUUUACCUACGCUUAGGAUGUUGAGCGCAUGUCUCUCUCU